rnacentral:lncRNA from 1 species
GAACCGGCUACCUACUCAACCUUUUAAAAUUUUGAUUUUAUUAUCUAAUUUUUCAAUUUGUUUGAUUUGACUCGAUCAACAAUAUUUUACAGUACAAUUGACUGACUCAAAUAAAACAAACUGGAAAACUGGAUAGUAAAUUAAAAUUUUCAAAAAGUUGGAUAUCGGCAUCAAAAUGAUCCAUAAUUCAGAUAAGUUCUAUACAUUUUUGCCUAUUUAAACUCCACUUCAAUAAAUUAAACAAAAUUUUCAAAUUUAUUUAAUCUACAGUUUCACGUACAACAUUGCUUAAUUAAAAUA